GCCCUGAAAGGCUGAAUGACUGUGAAAACCAGGUCCCACUGGAAGGUGAUGAGGCCCUGGGUCCCCAGCACCUGCUUUCACAGUCUGGGUGUGUUCCUUGAGACACAAGUACCAGAGAAAUGGACCAUUUGGCACAAGUUCCUGGUGUUUUGCCUAACUGCAGCCCUACUAAUCCUGAUGAUGUGUAAGAGAGUGUGUGGAAGGACAGUCAGGCCACUGACACCUAGACACCUGGGUCUAGGAGUUAUGGUCAGUUGGAUGGCAGAAUGCAAAUCAUCUGAAAAAUUGAAGUGAAAUAGUGUUUGUGUCACUGUUCUGAUAUUGUCACAAAUAUGGGAAAAGUGAUCUUGCAUGAGUCCAAGGCUGAGGCUGGCAGAGAGGGUGGGGAUGGGUGAGGAGUUGGUGCUCAGAUUCCUCAUAGUGUAGGACUAUGCCCUCCACCUCCAGGCCCUACCAGGAAGGUGGUCCUGGUGGUGUCUGUGCUCUUAUUUGCUUCUCAUCUUCUCUAGGCUCUGCCAGUGGAGUCUCCUCUGUCCCACACUUACCCUGAGGGCCAGCUCCUGCCCAGUGGUGCUUGGCCCUGGCUCUUCCUCCCUGACAUAGAGUUUAUGCUGCAGCUCCAACGCUUGUGGAGGAUAACCUGUGGAAAACAUGGAAGACAGUGCGUGGUAGCUGGCAGGGAGCAUCAGCCCCUGCUGGCCUCCAUUCAGGGUAUUUCUGCCCCUAGUGACCUUCUGCUCCCCAGACCUCAUACAGACCAUUCAUACCAGGCUUCUACCCUAAGAGGACAGGAAAUGACCCUGGGGGCCCAGGAUGUACCCUGGACACUCCCUUUCCUCACCUACAUCCCUGCUUUGGGGGUGACCAUGACAGGACACCAGGAUCACAAUCUCCCCCAGCUGCUCCUGCCUUAGGCCUCUUCCCCCAUACUGAGGGGGAAGGUGGUGGGGCUCUGCAGGACUACUCACAGUGAUGGUUUCUCCUGAACGUACCUCCCCAGGGUUACCAGGUGUGGGCCUUGGGCUACUUUGAGGAGUUCUACUUGGAGGAGUACCACUAGAGGAGGCACUGGGAGUGUGAUUGAAAGCAACAUAGCCAUGUCUUAGGGUCCCUUGACUUGACCCCUCUUCUAGGUAUACCCACAUUUGUCCCUCUGGGCUACUGUUGGCCCUCCUCCAACUCCAUGACAUUUCCAUAUGUGUACACAGUUAACCCUAACACAGUUCCCCACAUCACAUGCCAGGCCUGGCUAUAGCCAGGGUCCCAGCUCUGAGGAGACACAGCUAGGUUUAAACCCAGCUCCUCUUCCUGUCCUCUCUUGUGACCUUGGACAAGUCUUCAUGUCUCUAAGCCUUCCCCUGCAUAUGUGAGAUAACACUUAGAAACCAGGUUGUCACAUUGCUGUAAUGAGAAACCAGGUUGUCACAUCUCUGUAAUGCACAAAAGUAGAGAUAAAAUAUGGAAACAGGUGGGAUGUCACAUAGAGUAGAACUAAAAACAGGCCUAGCCACUUGCCUUGUGACUUUGAAAAUGCCAUUUUCCUUCCUGCCUUCUUUCUCUGUCUGCAUCUUAAGAGAAUUGAAAUGUAUUUAGUGGGGAUAUCCUCACCUCCCAGAGCCACCCACCUUGUUCUCUUUGGGAUGAGAGUAAGCACAUCCCUGGGCACCUUAGGGACCUCCCAACAAUGAAAUUCUGAUCUUUUCCCCUUUCCAUUCUCAGGGCCCAGUCAAGGUACUUGGAGAUGGGCUGCUCCUGUUCCAUAGAAGCGUGGUCUCGAGUCUCUUCUUCUUCUUUUUUUUGGUCUCAGGGAGUGAUCCCAGGGGUGCAUAGUCACCAAGCCACAUCUUCAACCUGUUUUUCUGUUUUAUUUUGAGACAGGUUGUCACAGUGUUGCUGAGAUUAACUUUGAACUUGCGAUCUUCCUUAGCUUCCCAAGUUGCUGGUAUUGUAGUCAUGUACCACCAUGCCUGGCAUCUUUGUCCUUUCCCAUGUUACCUCCACCUCCUGGGCCCCCAUUUUCUCUGACCCACUCUCUGAUCUCCACAUGAUUGCACCUAUUGAGAGGCUGAAAAGAAAUACUGUUACAUGGAAAAGGCAGGCAAGUGUCCCCAGGAUCAUGGAAGUUCUUUUUCCAAAGGAAAUCCUAUGGGAGAUGGAUGAGUCCUGAACUAGGAAGUCAUGAUCCUGCCUUUUCCUCUGGAGUCUGCCUCUGUCCUGUUCUCUUGGCCAGUCCCUAUCUGACACUGGGCCUCAGUUUCCCAAAUGUGCAGUGAAUGGUUAGAGAGGAACUUACACAUAGUCCCUUCUGGUAGAUGCUACAUAGUUUUCCAGGCUGGGUAGGGUUGGUCAGGGUGGUGCUUCAGGGUUCCAUGUUACUGUCUGCCCAGGAUGGGUGCAGGUGUACCCUGCUUGGUGUAGCCUGGCCUUGUGUUUAUAGAAUGUGUGUUAUCAUUGGCACAGGCAUAGAAACAGUGCCACACAACACAUUCCCAGGUCUCCAUCCUUUCUCAAUUGUGAGAUCCUUUUGUCCCAUCUCCUCAAAGUCAGAAAGUGUAAUCACUCUCUCUCAGCUGCAUGGAAGUGUGUGUGUGGGGCGGGCAGGACUGGAUCCUCAAAGAAAAUGUGAGGUAUUGUGUCUAUUAGAAGUGGGUUUGGAUGGGAGCCUGGUGAAGGCACCAGAUCCACAGAAAUAUAUAUGACACUGCACAGAAAUAUACUUGGCCCUGCCUCCUGAUAAGACAGGAAUAUAUAUUUCAUAGAGGAGGGAAGGGUCUGGCCUGAGUUGAUGCAAUGAUUUAAGUGGAAGUUGGGGCCUCAGUUGCAAUUAGAUUUGCCCACCCACUGCAGAAAUACCAGAAUCAUAGAACAGAAAAAACAGAAAGAGGGAUAGUUCUUCUUUCUGCUGUAAAAGAAGUAGAGAUGGUGCUCAAUGCUGACCUGGAUGGCACCUGUGCAGUCACCUCACUGUCUUUCUGUCCCAGGCUCUCUGGAGCUGAUUUCCAUCUCUGAGUCUGUCCCUGGCCCCAGAUGCUGAAUUUCAGAAGGUUUUUUGAGGUAAAGGGAAAGAGAGUGCCACACAGCUGUGUUGGCUCCAUGCAAGCUGAUCCCCUCAUCCUGACAUUCCUUCUGCUCCUGUCUCAUCACCUUGAUCAGGUGACUCUUAGAUGCAAGAGAAGUGAAGAAUGACAACCUUUUAGUUAGAGAGUAACUUGCCCUAGAAACCAGUCUUAGUUCUGAAGAAAUGGCCAAAGUGAAAACAUGUUCAAGAGCAGACUCUUUCCUUUCCUAGACCCCAAGAUGUCUUCCGGGGGUCCAGGCAGUGGUUUGUGUGUUACAAAACCAGUCCUGUCAUGCCUUCCUCACAGUGUGAUUUUCCCUGAAUCUGCAAGUUGCUCAAAAGAGAGUUUAUAAAGAUGGCCAAGGUUGGUAGGGAGAGACCGCAGACUCAAAACCACCUCCCUGAGGUUUAGGGGCAUUAAUGUGACAAGAAAGUCAAUGAAAGGUAAUUUGAGGAGAAGGAUUCAGUUGUGCAUAGGCAAUCUACAUAGCACUUUGGGGAGUUCAGAAAAUGGCCACGUAGCAUAAUCUGAGGGUGUAGUUUUUAGCCUUUUGACAUCAAUAGCUUGCCCAUGGGACGCUUAUACAGGCUCAAAUGAAAGAGACAGGGGUUUCAGCUGCUUUGAGCUAAACAAAAAGCUGCCAGUUUUUGAAAAGCAACUUAGGAAAACAUUAGCCUUGUGACCUGCAUGUUGAACUGUUAUCUAUAGCAAAGGUACUGGGAGUGUUGUAUUUUCAUCUGUAGGAGGUAUAGAAUUGGGGAUACAAAGAGAUAAUUAAAAGCAUGUGAAGUCAGAGUGCUCAUUCAGGUUUUUCUUCAGGUUCAUUGGAAGAGCAGAGAUGGGGAGGUGCAAUAGGGGAAAGGUCUGUGCAAAUUAGCAAGGAAACAAACAAAUAGUAACUUGUGAGGAAAUGACCAAGGCAAAGUACAUAGUUAAGCAAAGGGAAAUGGAAAGAAUAGCUCCCUAUGCACAGAGUGUCACUGUCAGCAUGCUAUGUAAAAAUGUCAGCCACGUUUUAUUUACAAAUAAUGCAUGUGAACCAACAUGGUGAAGUAGAGCUGGCAGUAAUUAAGUUUGCCGAGAGUUACGAAUUAAAGUAAGGCAGGAUGGGAAAUCAGACAGGUGAUCUCUAUAGUCCCAACAUGUGGUGUGAUGCAGUGGUGGAAAGCAAAGUUGCAGCAGAAAUAAAGCAGUGAGGAGUAAGCUAGAUGAUGGCCAAAUUCCCAAAGCCAAAGCUGUUAGAAAUGGCAGGCAGCUCAAUAUAAACACAUCGACAGGGAGGGGCUUCAGUUUGUGUCUUGAGCAUUAGAUCAAGUUAAAAGAGAACAAAACCUUGGAUUUAGUAAGUAGAUUGUUGCUUGAAUAAACAGAAAAUAACAUUGGUUUGCAUGUUCAUGGAACCACUGCAAAAAUUAAUUAUAUAUUUGGCCACAAAAAAACUUAACCAACACAGAGAAUUAGAGGAAAAGCUAUAUUUUUAUCAUAAUCUAAUAAGAUUAGUAUAAAUAAUAACAUGACCAGUAAAUUUUCAUUUAGAAUUCAAGAAAUACCCGUCUCAAAAACACUUGGAUUAAAGAGGACUGUCUAGACAGAUUUGAAAUCUGUUGAGAAAGCUCUGGAAAGAAAAGCCCUUAAUUCUCAAACUCCUGGGACUUAACUGUAUUUAGUGGAAAAAUUAGACUAUGGGAAUUCUAUACUGAAAUAGCACAACAAAAGUAAAAGGACCUACAUGGUUUAAUUACCAAAGGAAACUGGGAGGAAGUAACUGAUAAAGAUCAAAACAAAUUAAUGAGCUGGGAAAUCAAGAUGUAUUUAUAUCCAUAUUUUAGCAGAAAAGUGAGCAAUCCCACAAUGGGACCAUCUUCAACAGCAAAAUUUGAACUCAUCACAAAUUGCAAUUUUCGUGCAAAGGAAGAAGGGAGUAGCAGACAUAUAGGAGAUUGUGCAUGAGAAGGAAAACCUAAGUACAGAUUAAGAUCUUGCAUGGGCAUGGAAGGGAAGGAUAAUUAAAGACAUACCAGACGGUGUUGUGCACCUGCUCAGCCGUCUGCACCCAUGACAGGCUUGCAGGACCAGCCUUGGUGGAAAGCCAUGUGGCAGCACCCAGGAAAAUGAAAAAUGCAAAUAUCCCCAGAAACUCAUACAUAGAAACAACAACACCAGUAAGUUCAAGUGUGUUUAUGGAGCAUUGUGUCAAAAACUGGCAGCACAUUGCUGUAUGAGCAAGGAACAUUGGGGUCAUGUGCAUGUUAUACAUUAUUAAUGUGGAUACAUCAGCCAGGAGAAGGAGUGGAGUCAAGCUGAGGAGGUGCCUUGAAGGAAUUGUCUCUCCUCACCCUGGAGUGGGAAAAGAAGAUUCAGAAAAUUUUCGGCAGACACAACAUCUUUGUUUGUAUGUGGUGCUGAGGAUCGAACCCGGGCCGCACGCAUGCCAGAAGCAGUGAGAAAACAUCAGGAAACAUAGAGGAAUAUUCAUGAGAUGCUGAUGUUGAGGAAGGGGCACAUCAAAUGCUGGCUGUAUUGCAGGGAUAACCAGAAGACCCCGCAUUUCUGACCAGCUGCUAUUAAUUUGGGGGUUCCGUGACCUUCUCAUAGAACUCAUGGAUACUGGUGAUUAAAGUGCUGCUACAAAGGGUACAAACCAGGACAAGCCAAACAAUGAGAUACACCAGACUCCCUUAGGAUUUCUCACGUCGAUGAACCUUCAUUUAUGAAGCCUAUGCUGGCCGCAGGCUAAAGCCACCAAUACAAUUUCUGGCCAACUGUCACUGCAACGACCAAUUGAGGAGUGGGCUGUGGAGGAAGCUAAGGAACUGCAACACACAGCCUU